ensembl:lncRNA
UGUAUAUCUCUGGUGGCUCAGGUGGUAAAGAAUCUGUCCACAGUGUGGGAGACCCAAGUUUGAUCCCUGGGUUGGGAAGAUCCCCUGGAGAAGGAUAUGGCAACCCACUCCAGUAUUCUUGCCUGGGAAAUCCCAAGGACAGAGGAGCCUGGUGGGCUACAGUCCAUGAGGUCACAAAGAGUUGGAUACGACUGAGUGAGUAAAGACAACAUCUCAAUGGAAGGAGAAAGGCAAAAGCUGGUGACUCAGCCGUGAAAUUGAAAGACGCUUGCUCCUUGGAAGAAUGUGACCAAUUUCAGCCGUGAAAUUAAAAGACGCUUGCUCCUUGGAAGAAUGUGACCAACCUGGACAGCACAUUAAAAAGCAGAGACAUUACCAACAAAGGUCUGUCUAGUCAAACCUAUGGCUUUUCCAGUAGUCGUGUAUGGAUGUGAGAGUUGGACUAUAAAGAAAGCUGAGCACCGAAGAUUUGAUGCUUUCAAACUGUGGUGUUGGAGAAGACUCUUGAGAGUUCCUUGGACUGCAGGGAGAUUCAACCAAUCCAUCCUAAAGGAAAUCAUCCUGAAUAUUCAUUGGAAGGCCUGGUGCUGAAGCUGAAACUCCAAUACUUUGGCCACCUGAUGCGAAGAACAGACUCAUUGGAAAAGACCCUGAUGCAGGGAAUGAUUGAAGGUGGGAAGAGAAGGGGACGACAGAGGAUGAGAUGGUUGGAUAGCAUCAGGGAGGCGAUGGACAUGAGUUUGAGUAGGCUCUGGGAGGUGGUGAUGGACAGGGAGGCCUGGCAUGCUGCAGUUGAACACGAAUGAGUGACUGAACUGAACUGGAGACAAGGGAGUCCCCAUCACAGAGGACUGGAAUCCUUGGCCCAGGGGCUCUGAGGUGGCCUGGGGGAUGGGGAGGGCUCCUUCUUGAUUUCAACCAAGGGCCUGCUGGACAGGGGACUCUCUUUGCCAAGGGGCUGCUGGGGGCAGCUCAGUGAUGUCACAGAUGAUGGGGCGAGAGCUGGCAACAGCAUCUGGGGAGGAGAGGCUGGGGCCGCUGUAGGCCAGGCGGGAGCCUCAUAGGGGCUGUAGUGGACCUGCUCCAGGGAGUGUUGCCAGCCAUUCUGGGGCUUGGGAUGUGCCGAGCCGCCGUCUUCAGCAUCACCGGGAUCGUUCUCAUCACCUGCAGGAUCCGGCUGGACGCGCCAACUGGAUGAGAACGUGGACGAGCCUGUCGACCGCCUUCUGCGGCCUGGCUUGCUUCUGCUGCAGGCCGGCCACGUCCCGCCACGGGGCCUCGUCCUCUGCCUCAUGCGGGGCGGGUUGGGGUCCGUGCUCUCCUGCUUCCCCUUCAUCCACGGAAAGGCGGUCAGCAGCCUGGUGAUACUGUCCUGGCGAAGCUUUAUGUCCUCACUCCUCGGUGGACGCACGGUCACUUCCCUCCUGAUCGUUCUCCAGGAGCUACUCCUGGCCGCGCAGGAAGCGCGGUGCUGGCACUCGGGGUCAUCGACUCUGGCCUGACCCGGCUGCCGGUCUCGAUGAGGACCACCUUCCGGAAGCCACAGGGGUCGAGCAGCCGCACGAGGCUGGCCGCGCCUUGCUUGGGCACUCAGGCAGCCAGCCAGCCUGGUCGAGCACGUGGACACAGCUCCACGUGUCUGUCAGGGGUCGCUCAGGAGGGUCCACGGCUUGACCAGAAAGGCCGGAUCGUUGCUGGGCCCGCUUGAGCCAGGGACCGUCGGUGCGAUGGAGAUCCGUCUGACCGGAGGCAGCGCAGCCGCUGCCGGUAGCGGCCCCGCGACCGGCGGGGACCGCGUGGCCGC